AUUUAAAACUCUUACUGCCAUUGAUUCUCUUCGUCUUGUUUUAUAAACAAUUUCUGUAGUGGAACCUCUCGACGAACCUGGUACACUUGUUUCCGUUACAUGAACACUGUACAUUGUUUAUUGUUUUUGUACUUAUAGAGUGAAUACUGGACCAUUAUUUAAAACAGUUAUUCGGAGGAGUGUUUGUAAAUAAAAUUCGCAAAAUGUAAUGAAAAAAUUGAAAGUGAAGAAAGAAUGAAUAGAAAUGUGAGAAACUUUGUAACGUAAGUGGAGCAACUUCCCUCACGGAAACUGACGCACGAAUAAGGGCUCCAACCUGAGCGGCACAAUAGAAAAGACCAGCAAGUACUCGUGCCAUAUUUUUAAUGAGAUCCUCCAGCAGUGGGACUAAUUAUAUACUAUAAAUACAUGUGCAAUCAUUUAAAAAUGAAACCGCAAGUUUUAUAAAGGUUUUUCCUUUUUUUGCAGAAAAUAUUUUUAUCAAGGAAUUAUCAAGAAUUUUGUGUGAAAUUUAUCGCUGCAGAAUGAUUGAAGUGCAUUGUGACUUUGGAGAUUCAAUUAAAAGAUUAAAUCCACAUCAAAAAUGACCUUUUUCAAAAAAAAAGUGAUGCACAAAAGAAUAAUGGAGAAUUUAAUAAAUAUAUAAUCAGCACCAGAGGAGAAAAUUGAUGAUACAGAAAAAAUGAAGAAAAAUAAUGAAAAGGAAGAUAAAGAAAAAACAAAAUACUAACUCUUCAUUCAUAAAAUUCUGUAUUGAUUUUUAUGGUCUAUCCAUUAGGAUUAAUGGCUUCUAUUUAAUUUAUUGGAAACAGUCAAACCUCAAUACAGUGAAAAUGGAGAUAUCAUCAGAAAUGGAUUUACACAUUUCGGAAACUAAUGUUUAAUAGAUUGCUGAAUGAAUUGAGUCGCUUUAAAAAGGUUUUUAAUUUUUAAAUUUCAAACCUAGAUAAAUCAUUAAUAUUUUAGUAUUCAUAAUAAGAUUACUAAAUAAUAAGAAUUAUUAUUAUUUCAA